UUUAACCUGUUGGAGCCAGGUGUGCUGGGAACUGCCCAUUGGUUCGACAUCCCAUUGUUCCGACCAUAUUAAACUCAUUGUUCCGAAGUCUGUUCCGAAAUCAUCGGAAAUAACGUUUCCAUUUUAAAGUCAAGCCUCCCUGCUAAAAGUCUCAUCGUGUGUGAGGGCUUUGGGAGGAAAUAACCGUGCUAACGCUACACUUGCUAACGUUAUGCCAACGUCACUAGUUAGCUCCCGUUUCCAUGGCUUCCCAAUGUAUUUACUUUGUGCUGAGGUGCGGGGGAUCGCAGCUUCAGUCCACCCACUGUAAUAAAGCUCAAAACACAGGGGUGUGAAGGGAAAUGGACUGGGCGUCAGUGACACCAAACCCACAUCUGACACCUGAUAAGAAGCUUGAGCGUGGCAGGGACACCAGCAGGCAUGGAGCCAAAGAUACUCCAGCGGCAGCACAUUCAUGAUGAGAGGUUGAGAGUGCUGAGAGAAGGAGUCAAUGCAGAGAUGAGCACUACUGCUGCAGCAAAGAGGGUCAGUAAGUUUACAGCCAAAGGAGGGAGGGAAGGAUUUACACACACGCACACACAUGCAGGGUUGAAAAUACAGAGAAGAGGAGG